AGAUCCCUGGCCAAAGAUUUAUUUCUCUUGACAACCAAGGGCCUCCAUCUGGAUUUCCAAGGAAGAAAUUUCCUCUGAAGCACUGGAACUUGCCACCACCAGCACCAUGCCCUACCAAUAUCCAGCAUUGACCCUGGAGCAGAAGAAGGAGCUGUCUGACAUCGUUCCACCGCAUCGUGGCACCGGGCAAGGGCAUCCUGGCUGCAGAUGAGUCCACGGGAGCACUGCCAAGCAGCUGCAGUCCCUUGGCACCGAGAACACCGAAGAGGACCGGCGCUUCUACCGCCAGCUGCUGCUGACAGCUGACGACUGCGUGAACCCCUGCACUGGGGACGUCAUUCUCUUCCACCAGACACUCUACCAGAAGAAGGAUGAUGGGCAUCCCUUCCCCCAAGUUAUCAUAACCAAGGGCGGUGUUGUGGGCAUCAAGGUAGACAAGGGCGUGGUCCCCCUCGCAGGGACAAAUGGCGAGACCAGCCACCCAAGGGUUGUAUGGGCUGUCUGAGGGCUGUGCCCAGUACAAGAAGGAUGGAGCUAACUUCGCCGAGUGGCAUUGUGUUCUGAAGAUUGGGGAACACACUCCCUCAGCCUUUGCCAUCAUGGAAAAUGCCAACGUCCUGGCCCGUUAUGCCAGCAUCUGCUAGCAGAAUAGCACUGUGCCUGUUGCGGUGCCUGAGAUCCUCCCUGAUGGGCACCAUGACUUGAAGCGCUGCCAGUAUGUGACCGAGAAGGUGCUGACUGCUGUCUACAAGGCUCUGAGUGAUCAACAUAUCUACCUGGAAGGCACCUUGCUGAACCCCAACAUGGUCACCCCAGGCCAUGCCUGCACCCAGAAAUUUUCUCACGAGGAAAUUGCCAUGGCGACUGUCACAACGCUGUGCCGCACAGUGCCCCCCGCUUUCCCUGGGAUCACCUUCCUGUCUGGAGGCCAGAGUGAGGAGGAGGCAUCCAUCAACCUGAAUGCCAUUAACAAGUGCCCCCUGUGACCUUCUCCUAUGGCGGAGCCCUGCAAGCCUCUACCCAGAAGGCCUGGGGCAGGAAGAAGGAGAACCUGAAGGCUGCGCAGGAGGAGUACAUCAAGCGAGCCCUGGCCAACAGCCUGGCCUGUCAAGGAAAGUACAGCCCGAGCAGUCAGGCCGGGGCUGCUGCCAGCAAGUCCCUCUUCAUCUCUAACCACGCCUACUAAGCGGAGGUGUUCCC